AGCUGGGACUACAGGCCUGCACCACCGUGCCUGGAUGAUUGAUUACUUUUUGAUUGACUGUUCAUGUUUGGAGGAGAGGUUUUCCAAGAAUUGCUAAUUGCAGAAGGUUUGUGCUGAGAGGCCUGGACCACGUUUCAGCCUAGUAGGAAUUCUGCUUAUGACACAGAGGUUGUGUAGAUGAGUUCCUUUGGCUUCUACUUUUAACUAAGAGAAAUUGGCAAUCACAGGGCUGCUCACAUCGCAGUCUAUAUAUAUUUUUUCCAUUUUGCCUCACCAACACAAUGCUUCUGCAUAUGUGGUAUGUCUGAAUGAUUCUUCUUCCAAUGGUGCCUUAUCACCUUCUCUUUUAUAAUCAGCCAGGUUGAAGGAAGACACUGCUGCCUGUCCACAUACUUGAUUCCUUUAUUUCAAAUGAAAGAUUGCUGGUUUUGUCUCUAAGAAUGGAGGAUCCCUACUGGGGAGAGCUUCAUGCCACUUCAAGAAUUUGACCUUUCUCAUCUUCAAUCUAGCCACACAGGGUUGCUUUUGGCUCAGGUAUCUAUCUAGGUCCACUUAUUAGUGAUUAACACAGCAUGGUUGGUUUCACUUAAUGUACAAUGGCAUGAGUCACAGCAACACUGUGCAGAAGACCAUCUAUCCUCACAAGAAUGUGGUGAACAUUGCUGCCACUCCCAUGCUUUCAAAAUAAAUAGUCUUUUCAAAAUA